rnacentral:lncRNA from 1 species
AAAAACAGGAUAUAAUUUUUGAAAAAUAAUUUUUUUAUUUCCUAUUCCUACUAUCUAAAUUAAGCACUCAUGAAAAACUUCAAGUAAUUUCAAAAUAAUUCAAGAGAGUUGAGUUACUUACCUUGUAGUCGAAGCCCGUCAAAGCCCAAUUCGCCGUUUCACCUUUGGAAGUUCUUGAUUCAUCCUUGGGUGCCUUCCUUUUCUU